rnacentral:lncRNA from 1 species
ACACCCUCCAACUCCCAUAAUAUAUAAAUUUAAUCUUCCCCAAACCCUAAACCUAAAGACCAGCCGCUCCACAUCCUCCCUCUCAUCCAAACUCUCUGCCACCUCAACCUCACCAAAACUCGUCCAAACCAGCCGAGUCACUCACCCAACUCGCCUCUUGGUCCCCUCAUGGUCUCCCCUCAUCAUUAGUAUUUGAUUUUACGUGUUUUCUCCCCUUCUCCAUUUUGAUUUUAUCUUUUUUUUAGGCAAGAAUGGAAAAUGGGAGGCGUAGGAUCGAGUUACACCUGAUCUACUCCCUCCAUCUGUCCUUUAUUGCCAUCAUAAGGGAUAAAAUUCAAUGAUUUGUGGAGGAUUUUUCUUUUUCAGGUUUUUGGAGAUCGAAUUUCUUGGAGAGGAAGCAAGAUGAAGCUUCUAGGAUCCCUAUAUAUAGAGGGAUUUUCGGACAGAAAGAAAAAAAGAGGGUUCGAGGGUUCUUGAGGUGAUUCUUCUCAUUUUUCCAUUUUUCGUUAAAAAAGAGUAAUACAAUCAAAAAUAGUUAGAAUCUUUUGGUUAGAGUUCUGUUUUUUCAUUUCAAAAAUCAGAAAACAAAAAAAAAUAUUUAGUUCAGUUGUUCUUUUAUUUUCGGCUUUCUUCCUCCAAUUUUGGAUUCCACACUUUUCGAUUUUGCUGUUUCAACAUGGAGAUUGAUUGAGCCGAAAUCGAGUUUGCCGUUCGAGUUUUGGUUGUUGGUUCGAUUCCUGUUUACCUGCUGCUGUGUCACUUCUUCAUUUCAAAACUUCAUCGGAAAGUUAACUUGUAAUUGCUUUCAAACGCGUUCAAUCGAAAGUGUUUUGCAUCCAGGUUCAUUUCUAUACUUUUCUUUUUUUUGUGGUGUGAUCAACAGUAUGAUAGGAGUCUGGGAUUGGAGAAUUUUAGUUUUAAUAGAAUGUUGAUAUAAGCAGGUUCACGGUAGUCUGAUAGUAUAGUGUCGGGUUGUGCGCAAUCUUGCAGUUAUUUGCUUGCCGUAUGACGUUGUGAUUGGUUUAGACUAUAUUGUUCGUUAGAGUUUUAGCUUUCCUUGAAUCUGUUUGGUUUAAAAUGAGAUAUACUUGGUUAAUAUGCAGCUAGUUCCUCCAUAAAGUUAAACCAUAAGAUUAACAUCAUAUGCUUGUUAAAUAAACUCAUUAGUUGAAUAAUUGUUGAUGCGUUUUCUCACGACUCUUUAUCUGACUCUUUUCGAUUUUUCGAGUAUAAACAACAUGGGUCAUUGAAACAUUCUAGCCAUAAUUGAAUUGUUGGAGUUGAAUUGGCUGACUCGAUUUCUCGCAGCCCCCAUGAGUUUAUUUAAUCUUUUUGUUGGGUUUAAAUGCAAGUUGUCAACAACUCUAUUUGAGAUUUCCCAUUGAAUAUGUUGAAGCUUCUGUUGGAGUUUUGAUUUGCUCGAUAUGGUUUUCUCUGGUUCCUAAUGUGAAUCUUAGUUGAAUUGUUAAGUUCAUUUCCGACUGUGUCAAUCUCCUGCUUAUUUUUCAGGUGCCCUCAGUUGAAAUUCAUGACUCAUGCUUUAAUUCGCUGUCAUUAUUUCUUACUAUUAAUAUUCAUUAUGCUCAUUAGUUUGUGUUGAUCUCCAUGUGUUCUAGUGAUAAAAGAGGUGGAACUGUGUGUGCUUUUUCAUGAUUCAGUUUUGUUCACUGUCCCUUGCGCUUGAAUAAUGAAUUCUUUUUUAAAAAAACAAAAAUCUGAAAAGCCAAAGUUUCAAGUUGUGUUUUGAAAACAAAUGGAAUGGUUGAUAAAAAUAUGCAUCGGUUGAGGUUUAUUCUUGCUUCCCUUCUCAUCAGUAUUUGAUCACAUUUGUAUUACCCCAAGUCUUAGAGGAGUCUGUUAAAAUUUUCACAAAUUGAUUGGAGAGGUCAUGUUUAAUGGAAUUUCUUUUUUCAGAAAAGAAAAAAUAUGUUGGUAACAAGGGUUGCUUGGUGAUCUCACAUAUGGGCAAUAUGAUUUUGUUAGACAUAUCUUUGUUUGCUUCAGAUAUUAAAUGUUAGCAUUCGAUGAGAGAGUUAAUAUUUUGUGGAUGAAAUAGAACAAGGGAAGAGGAGAAUCUGUGUUAGUGAUUCUUGCGUAGGGUCUAUGUGAGUGAGAUUAACAGUAAAGUGGAAUUAGGAAUAUGGAUUUAAUUGGAAAAUUAUGAGUUAGGUUCUUUACGCUAAGGAGUAGGAAUAAUUUGUGGAGGUCAUGGCUCAUAUCAUAUUGCUGAUUCACCUUCUUUUAUUUUGAUCAUUUACUGUUAUCUCUCCAUUGUUUCCUUGUUUUAGUUAUUUGAUGUUCAUUUGUGUGAUUUGUAUCUUACUUUGGACUAUCCCGAAUGAUAUUGGGCCGCGGGAAUGGGGAGAAGCCGAAGCCCAGUAGCAAUUGAUUUUGUCUCCAUGCUUUAGUUAUCGGGCUUGGUCUAAUAAUAAAAUGAGAAGUUGAGAAAGGAAUGAGCAUGAUUUAGAAUUUUCUUCUACCUUAUUUAGUUUUCUUUCAUUUGUUUAUUUAAUAGCAUUGUCCGCUAGGAGCAUGCUUAGGCCGACCACAUUUGGUUAGACAACCCUUAGGAUUUUUGUUGGUUUCGAGGCGAGAGGUCGUUCCCUUAGUUAAAUUUAUCCGGGGAAUACCCCGAAGGAUUUGUAUAUAUUUUAUUCUGGGGUAUGCCCUGAAGUAUUUGUACUUGGAGAUCGAUUGUAGAACUCGUAGUAUUUUUAUUUUUAUUUUUAUUUUUUUAUUAGGUGGGAAUGACCUCGAGCCUCGUGUGUGUUUAUUUUACUUUUCCGUAAUUUUAGCCCAACUUGGAUAUUUUAAAAGUCGGCUAGAUCAAUUAUGCAACCGUACUAGUUUCUAGACUUGGGGAGUGCCUAACACCUUCUCCCCGAGUCAAAUGAACCCCCUUAUCCAAAUCUCUGGUGCAGGCAUAAUUUGGAGUCCAAAGUGUUUUAAAAGGAAAAUUAUUUUUAAAAAUGGUGACCUGGCACACGAAACAAAUGUCAGGUGGCAACCCUGAGUUAUUUUCUUUUGGACAUAAUUUUGUCACUUUUUAAUUAAAAAUCCUUUUGAGCUUUACAAAUCUUUUUAUAUUUUUAAGAGGGUUAGUGAGUUUUUUAAAAAAAAAGGGUGGGACAGCUUCCUAUUUUCUUUUUCUAGAUCCUUCAACAGACUUCCCUUUCUGGCUUACCAACCACACAAUAUCGUCUUCAGACAUAGCUUGCUUAACUAGACUCUUCUUAGACUUAUUGCUGACUUCACGGAUGCUCCACAUUGUUUCUCAAUAGCUUCAUUGGAAGAUUCAUCCACAUACUUCUGGGCUUUUAUAGAUUGUUAUACUAAGAACAUGGUUCCUUUAGAGCAUCUUUGUCAACCUUACCUACUGGAAUGUUCUUAUCAGUAACAAAUUCUCUUUGACUCAUCAACCUCUUCUUCCUUGUCUCGACACUCCUCCUACAUUUCUGCAAUGUAGACUCGAACCUCUCUCUCUGUUGCAACUUGAUACAGGGUGACUUGGAAAAGCAUUCUAAUGACUUAGGGUAAUCAAGAGGCUUAGGAGUGGAUUUAUCUGGACGAUAAUCAGGUCCUCCAGCAGGUUUUUCUGGGACAGUUUCAUGGAUUAGAGACUCGAAGAGUACCAUGGUUUUUUCAUUACCUAGGAAUGGAGUUUCUUCCUCUAAUACUCAGACAAGAGAUAGGUUCUUUCAUUCAACAGGCUUUUAGCAGCGAUAGCCAUGAUAUUGUGUGAUGCUUCCUUUUCUGGUGACUCUGUGAGAGCCACUGAAUCCAAAAGGGAGGAGUUCAGAUACUGAUCAGGGAUCAUCAUCAGAGACCUCUGAAACCUGAGAGGUAACCCUUUUUGAGUGUUCUUUGGUGAGAUCAGAGGAAUUAGGAGACAUGGGGUUUUCAACACAUGUAAAGGAGACAAUUUGACAGAAAAGGAAAAACAAUAGGAAAUGAGGAGGAAACAUGUGUGGGUGCAAUAGUAUUGGAAGGAGUGGGAGAGUAAAUUUAUGGAGAUGACUUUAAGGAUAAUAAGGAAGUAAGAGUGGUGUUGAUGGUGGGAGAAGGAAGCGAUCGUUCGAUUGCCAUUAUAGGAGGAUUUGAUAGGGAAGUUGAGUGACAAAGAGAUGAAGAGAGGAUCACAGAGAUACAAAAGAGAUGAAGGUUCAUGACUUGCUAUGAGAGAGAAAAGGAGUGUUUUGGGAAGAAGGGCUAAUGAUAAGAAGAGAGAGAAAUGGGUUCUGGACAAUCCUAAAAAUGGCGGUAGGUUUAUGGGAAAAUGUUAUCGUGCAGAAGGGAUGAAGGGAUUUGAAGGACAAGACAUGACAUGCAGAUUUUGAAAAGUUGGAUGAUGUGGCAGUUGAAUUUAUUUUGUUAACCCUUUUUGAGAAAGCAUGCGAAACAACACAUUACUACUAACCUGUGGUACAAGAACCUGAUGCCCGAACAUUUUUUGAAAACGACUUUAGCAGCUCUUCUUUUGCAAUUCAUAAUUGCACCUUUAGUUUCUAUGAUCGUCAUGAGUGUUUACCUGCAAUGGUAUCGAUGUGAGUUAGGCUUGGAUAGAAAACACUUUAGCUCGUUUUACCUGAAGGUAAUUUUCAUAGCCAACUGAUGGAGAAUCAGGUUCUCAAUUUGGCUUCAAUACCCCCCCAGCUUCAUCAUGUUUCUUUCAGAGAGUUCCCUACUCAAGACUUUGGUGAAGAUAUCUGGAAUUUAGUCUUCUCUGCUGCAGAACUUCAUACAUAUCAACCCUUUCUCCACAUUUUCCUUUAAAGAAUGAUGCCGCACAUCAAUGUGUUUGGUCUUUUUGUGUUGAACUGGUUUCUUGUCCAAGUUGAGUGUACUGGUGUUGCCAUAUAGAGGAGGUACCCAAUCAGUACAUAUUAUGCUUUAGCCAUUUCAGGGACCACUGAGUUUGCUGCCUUGUGCACCAAGACAUGAGACAUGAUCAUAGAAAGUGGCCAUUCCAAAAGUGUUUUUCCUGUCCACAAGGUAACUUGCAUAGUUAGCAUCAGCAUACCCAAUGAAAUUUAAAGUUGUCACCUGAAGGGUAAUACAGGACCGGGUCCUGUGUUUCCUUAAGGUAUCUCAAAAUUCUUUUGGCAGCCUUCAAGUGAGAUUCCUUGGGAUUUGAUUUUGGGUACUAUCUGUGAUAGAAAUACAAAAAGUAAUAGGGAAUUUUUUUAUUUUUUUGGCUUUUGAUCUAGUUUAAAUUCAGAAUCAAGAGAGGUGAUUAUGUUAUCGAGUGGAUGGGAUCUUUUGUGUUUCCAAAUGGGGACUGAAGUUUGACGAGUGGAGGAACUGGGUAAAUUGAGUGGAUUUCCCUGCACUACUUGUUCUGCUACUUGUGGAGUACCUUGCACUACAUCUCCAAUUGUUUCUUCAGCUUCAGUGGUAGUAAUUGAAGUACCAUGUUCCUUUUGAUAAGUGGAAGAGAAUGUUGCAUUGUCUUCACGUGUCUCCUUCAUCUGACUCAUCAUAUCAGCUUUCCCAUUUGAAACAUCAGAUAUUUCCCAAGGACAGAAAGUAGUUCAUUAUCUUGAUCGUUACUCUUUCCUUCAUUGUUAGAAGGAGUCUAGUUAAAUAGCUCAUGACCAUUUUCUUCCACAUAUUGUGCUCUUUUGUUGCAGACUUGAUAGACUUUUGCUUUACGGGGAAGAUCUCAGAGAGAUUUCUUCACCAGUUUUUUUGUAUUAGACUUCCCAAGUUGGUUCUUUCUUUUGUUGAGAUCAUAACAUUUGCAUCCAAAGAUUCUUAGAAGAGUUAUCUUUGAUUGUUUUUUGUUGAGCAGCUCUUGGGGAUUUUAGGAUGGACCUGAUCAUAGUAACGGUUUGCCAAGUAGUAAGCAGUGUAUGUUGCUUCUACCCAUAAUUCCUUGGCAAUUCCUCUAUUGAUGAGCAUUGUCCAUUUCUUCCAGAUUUCUGUUCUUCAUUUCAACAACACCAUUUAGCUGUGGAGUCCUUGGUGCUGAGGAAUUGUGAGUGAUCCCAUUUCCAUUACUAGACCCAUCAAAUCUUGUCAUUGACAUAUUCUAUCAUGUGGUCAGAUCUGAUACAUGUUUCCUUCAGUUUCGUCUUCACUUAGAUCUUCCUGACAAGUGUCACACAUACUUCAAAAGUAUCUUCCGUUCCUCUAACAAGCAGUGUCCAGGUGGAUCUUGAAUUUUGCAGCCCACGAACCAGGUUCUUCUAAGUCAGUUCAUUAUGAAGUGAGAGCCUUGAGUGUUCCAAUAAUUUAUGCCAAGGUUUAGCAUCAUUAUCAAUAGCCUUUAAUCAGCUCAUAUCACCAGUUUGUAGGGAUUUAAGGUCAGCAAAGUAGAUGUUCUUGUUCUUUUGGCGACUACAGCCACUUCACCAAUUACUAGAUUGGUAACUAUGUGCAUUUUUUAUAAGAACUCCAUUUUGCUCCUUUUAACACAGAUUUGAGACACACUCAAGAGACUGUGCUUCAGGCAGCUCUCAUGGCACACGUUCUCAAUUAAGUCUGACACAGACUUUCCAUCUUUUCAACACUGAGACUGUACCCCCCCUUUUCUUUUUCCUUUUUUUAUUAUACAUAUACAAGAUACAUUCUCUUUUCUGUAGGGCUUUCAGUGAGAGACAGUCCAUGGUGUUUUUAGUAUCCACUGUUUGUGAACCAUUGCAGUCACUUCUUCUCACUGUUCCCUACACAUAUAAAUCAUGGGUUAGAUUUAGGAAUCCAAACUAGUUUGGGUCUCUUGUUAUGAGAAAAGGGAUGGAUGAGGGCUUUUCUAGUCCAUGCAGGCAAUAUUUGUUUCUUGCGAGCGAUACCUGGUCCCUCUUUAGACUAGUUUGGGUCGCUUGUUAUGAGAAAAGGGAUGGAUGAGAGCUUUUCUAGUCCAUGCAGGCAAUAUUUGUUUCUUGCGAGCGAUACCUUAUCCCUCUUUAGUAGUCACUUUUUUAGUAAACACUUUGUUUUCCUGAAUAGAUUGAACCCUGGCCUGGCCGUUUUCUUUGAAGUGCCCAUUGUUCCCACAGUGGGUACACAGCCAGUUAUCAGGAAUAGUGACUUACUUGCUGUGAGGGUUGUAGGGAGUUUUCUCCUUUUGGAACAUGAUUCAUUGCCUGUUUCCACUAUUGUUGAAGUACAUGGCAGUGACAGCAUCUGAGGACUAGGUCCACUUCAGAGAUUUCUCAAGUUCAAUUUUUACUUUCUCCAAUUCAGCUUGAAGUUGCCUAUUUUUCUCAAGUUCACCACAUAGACUAGUUUUCACAUCAAUUAAUUCCUUCUCAAGCUUGAUGUGUGUCUCACUAGCUACUUCCUUCCCUUUUCCAAGACUCACAUUCCUAUGUUCUAAAUUGAGUUCCUCUAUGGUUUCCUCUAGGUCAGUGAUUAUUACCAAAAACUCAUCCCUUUCUUGCUCAGUAGCUAUAAUUUUCUCUUCUAGAGUGUGUUUUUCAUUGCUAAGACCUUCUAUGGGUUCCUUCAAAUCAACUACCACUACCAUAAGGUCAUCUCUCUUAUUUUCUACACUAUUUAAUUUUUCAUUCAAAACUUCCUUUUCCUUUUCAAGAUUAGCUAUAGUCUCAUUUAGGUCUAUUACACAGACCACCGGAUCAUCUCUAGAUUGUUCAUCUUCUCCUAGUUUUAUGGUCGGGAUUGCCUUAUCACUAUCAAGGCUAUAAUAUGUAUCAAUUAGAACAUUUGUUAAUGAUCUUAACUUAUUAGAAGAGUAGGAUUUCAGUUUUUUUUGAACAUCCCUGAAAUUUACCUCAUCAUUUUCAUCAUCGUCAGACUCAGCCAUCAGUGCGAACAGUGAGUCAUAUUUUGUUGCUUCAGUUUCCACUUCCAUCAUGGAGUUGUUUUUUGCAUCUGGUUCCCUUUCUAAUUCACUGGAGGAGUCUCCCCAAGCAGCAAGAGCCUGUUUCACAAUAUUGUCAUUUGUACUUUUUCAACUGAAUCGUUUAUCUGGAACCGAGUUCCUUUUUGCUUCUUUGUCAGGGUUUUGUUUGUAUUGCUCAUGUUUUAGAAGUGAACAGUCUUUGAUGAAAUGCUCUGGCUUUUCGCACCUGUGACAUAGAUCAUUGUUCCUUGCCUUACUUGAACUGCCCCUCUUUUGUAUACCACCAUUCCUUCGAACCAUUUUUUGAAACCUUUUAGUAAGAUAGGCCAUAUCACUAUCUUCUUCACUUGAGUCACUAUUUUCAGCCUUGAGUACCAGGUUCUUUUCCUUCUUUGGCUCUCUCCUUUCACUGUCUUUCUUUCUUUUCAUCUCGUAUGUCUUCAGAUUUCCAAUCAGUUCAUCCAUGGUUAGAGUUUGUAGAUCUUUAGAUUCAGUGGUGGAAUUUAACUUACUCUCCCAAGAACCAGGUAGAACACUGAGAAUUUUCCUAACAAGCUUGUUUUUGGGAAUAACAUCUCCAAGUGAAUGAAGCUCAUUUAUGAUGGAUGUGCUCCAGUGUGCAUAUCCUAUAUAGACUCAUCAUCCUUCGUCCUGAAGAGCUCAUACUUGGUGGUGAGCAUUCAAUCUUGGGUUGUUUAACCUGAGUAGUUCCUUCGUGUGCGGUUUGCAAUGCUUCCCAUAUUUCUUUGGCAGAAUCACAAGCUGAGACUCUGUUGUACUCAUCAGGUCCUAUACCACAUACCAAGAUUUUCUUGGCGCGAUAGUUCUUUUCUACGGAUUUUCUGUCAUUAUCACUGUACUCCUUUCUGUCUUUCGGCACCAUUGGUCCAGUUUCUCCAAGCUUCUUCAUAGGAAUAUGUGGACCAUCACAAAUGAUACCCCAUAGUUCUGAAUCUUCGGCCAUUAUAAAAUCAUGCAUACGAGUCUUCCACCAGCCGUAGUACUGACCAUUGAAUCUAGGAGGUCUGUACGUUGCUUAUCCUUCCUCAAAGUUGGGUGGAGCUGCCAUUGAGAUCCUUUCUAGGUGUUAACCUUUUAGAAAGAACCUCCCCUGAUACCAAUUGUUAGUUUGUAUGAGUCCACCAAACUAUAGAGCACCUGAUCCUCUAUGAGUUUCUACUGAGAACACUUAUGAAGUAGUAAGUAAAAGAGACACAAGAUUUUUAUGUGGAAAAAUCCUACUAAAGGGGAGAAAAACCACGACCUGCUCCUGUAGACUUUCAACUUCACUAACUUGUAAUCUCACUAUUACAAGCCACUUUGUAAUGACUCUAUUACAAAGACUUCAACUUAACUAACUUGUGAUACUCUUACCACAAGCCACUUUGUCACUCUCUAGUUAAAAAGACUUUAACUUAUGACUAACUCUAGUCACAACACAAACUUAGAGGGUUUGUGAUUUUUGGGUUUCCUAAAACACAACUUCUAAGAAAGCAAGAUAGGAGUUACAAUGAAGAACAAAUAACAAGAUUACAACUUAACUACGGAUAAACAUAGACUCAUUGUGAAACAGAUCCUUUAGUGGAGUUGCCUUCUUGUUCUUGAAACACUUGUGACUUCAAUGCUGGAUGAACGCUUUUUUGCUUGAGAGAAUAUCACUAAAUUCUCAAGUAAAUAUAUUGUGACUUGCACCAGGUUGUUAUACUACAAAAGACAUCACAAUGGUGAUGUCAAUUCUUG